rnacentral:rRNA from 1 species
CUACGGGUUGCUCCAGUGAGGAAUAUUGCACAAUGGGGGGAACCCUGAUGCAGCAACGCCGCGUGGAGGAUGACGCAUUUCGGUGUGUAAACUCCUUUUAUAUGUCAAGAAAAUGACGGUAGCAUAUGAAUAAGCACCGGCUAACUCCGUGCCAGCAGCCGCGGUAAUACGGAGGGUGCAAGCGUUACUCGGAAUCACUGGGCGUAAAGGACGCGUAGGCGGGUUGGAAAGUCAGGUGUGAAAUCCUACAGCUUAACUGUAGAACUGCACUUGAAACUUCUAAUCUAGAGUAUGGGAGGGGGAGAUGGAAUUAGUGGUGUAGGAGUAAGAUCCGUAGAUAUCACUAGGAAUACCUAAAGCGAAGGCGAUCUCCUGGAACAUUACUGACGCUAAGGCGUGAAAGCGUGGGGAGCAAACAGGAUUAGAUACCCCAGUAGUC